rnacentral:rRNA from 1 species
UACGUAGGGGGCUAGCGUUGUCCGGAUUUAUUGGGCGUAAAGAGCGUGUAGGCGGCCAGAUAGGUCCGUUGUGAACCUGGAGGCUUAACCUCCAGCCGUCGGAUGGAAACCAUCUGGCUAGAGUCCGGAAGAGGAGAGUGGAAUUCCUGGGUGUAGCGGUGAAAUGACGCAGAUAUCAGGAAGAACACCCGUGGCGAAGGCGGCUCUCUGGGACGGUACUGACGCUGAGACGCGAAAGCGUGGGGAGCGAACAGG